rnacentral:tRNA from 7 species
GCCCGAAUGGUGGAAUAGGUAGACACGUGGGACUUAAAAUCCCAUGACUUUAUGUCGUGCCGGUUCAAGUCCGGCUUUGGGUACCA